rnacentral:rRNA from 1 species
GACGGAGGAUGCAAGCGUUAUCCGGAAUGAUCGGGCGUAAAGCGUCCGCAGGUGGCAGUUCAAGUCUGCUGUCAAAGACCGGGGCUUAACUUCGGAAAGGCAGUGGAAACUGAACAGCUAGAGUAUGGUAGGGGCAGAGGGAAUUCCUGGUGUAGCGGUGAAAUGCGUAGAGAUCGGGAAGAACAUCGGUGGCGAAGGCGCUCUACUGGACCACAACUGACACUCAGGGACGAAAGCUAGGGGAGCGAAUGGG